AUGGCGCCGACGGAACUCCCUCCGUCACCAGCAGCCACCUCGCCGGGAAUCCAGAGCCACGAAGACGUCGUCUCCUCCGUCACCGCCAUCUUGAGGCAUCACUGUUCCAAGAGCCGUUGGAACUACCUGAGGUCUAUCCACCCGCAAGGGUUCUCGCCUCCCGACCUCUCCCGCCUUCUCCUUUCCUUCAGGAACCGUGCUCACCUCGCCCUCCGCCUCUUCACCUGGUCCUCCAGGCUCCGCCGCCCAGACCUUGCCGGCUACGCCACCAUCAUCCACAUCCUCGCCCGCUCCGGCCUCUCCUCCCAGGCCCAGUCCCUCAUCCGCACCGCCAUCGCCCUCGAGGAGCAGCAUCGGCAGAAGGAGGAAGAUGCACCUGGCGGCGCGCUUGGCGUACUGGAGACACUAGCGGCGACCUACCGCGCGUGCGACUCAAGGCCCUUCGUCUUCGACCUCCUGGUCCGCACGUGCCUAGCGUCGAGGAAAACCGAGCAGGCCAUCGACGCCGUCCGCCGUUUGCGCAGCCGCGGGCUGCGCCUCACGAUCGGAACGUCCAACUCGCUCGUGCGGCACGUCGCUCGGUCUUCGGGCGCCGACGACGCGCUACGCCUCUACCGCGAGAUUUUCUCCUGCUCCGCCGAAUCGGACGGGGAAACCGAGUCGAGACGCCGGCUCGACCUCCCACCGAACGUCCAGACGUUCAACUCGCUGUUGCACGCAUUCUACUGCGAAAAGCAUCUCGAGGGUGUUGAGCGGGUCGUAUCGGAGAUGACGAGACUCGGCUGCGAACCGAACCUCUUCACCUACAACGUCCUCAUGGCAGCGUUCUCCAACGAGGGGCGGACCGAUAAAUCCAUGGAGCUGUGGGGGCAGAUGUUGGAGAAGCAGAUGGAGCCGGACGUUGUGUCCUACAACACGCUCAUCGGCGGCCUCUGCCGAGUGAGCGAGGUGGCUCGGGCGGAGGAGCUCUACCGCCGGAUGACGAUCGAUGGCGGAAUCGAGCCCACGUGUCGCACCCUGGAGAGCCUGAUCGAGGGGCAUUGCCGGACCGGCGACGUCGACGGGGCCAUUUUGAUCUUUCGGGACCUCAGGCGCCGGGGAUUCUCACCGGUGACCGACUCAGUGAACCGGAUAGUCGAGGGACUGUGUCGAAAAGCGAGGGUUUCGGAGGCGGUGACGUUUUUCCGGAAGGCCGUUGCUGACGGCGGGGUCGAACCGGAUCGGUCGAGCUAUGAGACGCUGAUCGGGGGUCUCUGUGAAGAGGGGCAGCCGGAGGAGGCACUGGCGAUUCAGGUCGAGAUGGCUAGUCGUGGAUUCGAACCGGAUCGGAAGGUUUAUGGGUUUUUCCUUCGAGGGUAUGAGGAAUGCGGUAAUGAAGAAAAGGCCAGGAAGAUUAGGGAGGAGAUGGAAUCUGCAGUUGGCUGAAUGAUACAGGUGAAUACUGAAUGGAGUAAAAAGAUUGGUUUUGAUAGUAUAACUUUCUUGAAGAUGGAUUUUUUGUUCGAAGGAAAUUUUUACCUGCAAUAAGACAUGCCAAAGAUUCAGACUCGUCGAGCUUGCUGUUGAACGUGUUCGGGAACCAGCCUUACUGGGUAAGUCCCAGGUAUUCUGCCUUCUUGAUGGCCUUCGUAGCACUUAGUUCUUGCAGCAAGGGGUGUGCACCUCAGGUGAAAAAUUCUCAGCCUCCUCCAUGUCUUGAGCUAAUUCACCAAGUUUGCCGUGUAAGAGCCUCAUGAGCUCCGACUACCAUUCGUUCUCAAGGUCUGUCCUCCCUUCUUCCAGGGCACAUGAAAUGCAGAGGCUAGACCUGCUUAUUUCUGUCCCCUUUACUUCUACAGUGUUGUUAACCAUUUGAUCCUUGUGUUGGGAAGUUUCUCUUGCGUGAUACUUUUAUCUAGCACUAGCAGUAGCCUUUAGUUUAGGUAUGGUGAGUGCAAAUCACCAUCUUGUAGCUUGUCAAUGUAAAACACUGCCAGUUCCGCACAUUUUCUGUUACGUACCAUUUUCACUGCACCGACGAGCUUGACAGGGCCAUGUGCGGUCCUUGGUAGAUGUUACAUAAAGCAU